CCAAGGUAUAAUACCUCUUCCACAAGACCUACCAGGAUUGUUCGAGUAUUUGUACCUACACAGAACGAUGGGAGGUCCACUACAAGGAUUCUGCCCUUGGUUUACUUCUUAGUCACUUCCCAUGUUGGUUAUUUCUACUACGGCCCUUGAACUGCUGGAGACUAUCGUUACAAUAGCCACGAGGUGGAGGCCUCUUUCGUACACCUUCUAGUAAAGGAAACAAGAGACUUAAUGUACGUGAAACCACUUGUUUUUCAUACUAACCACAAGGACCACUUUUACUCACUUCGAUCUUCUACGAUACUCUUCCUUGAACGGUUCUGAUAAACUUCUUGUCGGACUAGAGGACGUACUCCCAUUGUAAAAAUAAAACACAUUACUGGAUCAUUAAUACUAUUGUACUUGAGUAACAAACGUUGUAUUGGAUCAUUUACGAAAAUCCUUGAUCUCAAGUACACCUGACCUUUGAUGAAUCGUAGGAAGUUACUUAGUUUCUCUCGUAAUACG
rnacentral:rRNA from 1 species